UUUUCUGUGUCCAUUCCCCAUCAAUGUAUACCAUUACUUCUCUUCAAUCCACCAUCCUCUCUCCUUCCUCUUCAAUCCACCAUACAUCGACAAGACGAUAACCCACCGCCGGCUCCGCCACGUCACCACCCGAGCCACCCACAACUCCUCCCGGCGCAUAAUCUGCCUUUUUUCUGUUCCUUAUGGACUUAUGGCUGCUUUUGCUUCUCUUUCUUUCUCAUUCUUUCCUUCUCCUACACUCACUGAAAAAUAUCACACAGUCAUGGGAGAUCUGAAAAAUGUAACGGAACUCAUUCAUCUUCUUCUUUAUCCCCUCAUCUGAAUGUUGGUCUAAGGAAUUAGUUAUGAGUGGUGGUACAAAUAUUUGGUGUGACCUGGCCGAGUUUGAUGGUCAAGCGGCUUAAGAAUAGGGGAAGGCUAGAAAGAUUCAAGCAUGUGUUAAGAUGCACUUGGUGCCACACUUCCAAGGUGAACUGAAGGAGGCUGCCCAUGUUUUGAUCCGAAAGUUUGAUGGUGCUGCCCAAAAGGACACACAUAGUGUUGUUGAUCUUGAUUAUAAGAUCCAGUUUCUUCAAAUGCACUGACGUGCAACCAGUCUUAACAUAUACCUGACGUUGUUGAUAAGAAACAAGCGAUUGUUGUGAACACCAACUUAUGGUUCUUUUGAUUGCUGUGGAGAUGAAUGUGACGACAAGCUUGACUGGAUCUUGUAUUUGGUAGAUGGCGAUAUUAUUAAUUCGCUUGAGCUAUGUAAGUAGUUGAGAAAUAUCAGGUACUUUGUUUGCUUUUUGUUGCAAUGGUAUACUGCGUUUGUGUGUCUACAUAUGUGAGUGAUUAUGAUACUGAAUGUUGUGAUAUCCUUGCUGAUAAUUUGAAUGGAGCUAUAACCGUCGAUGUCAUUGGGAGAAUUGCUUGGAGUGGUGAUAUAGAGAUUUUUAGAACCGUGGGUAAAGAGAGCAAAAGGAAGAACUUCGACCUCCAAGAUUAUGAUAGCUAUUGGGAAAAUACCAACCAUAAACGCUGAUAUUUAUUUCAUUUAACACCAUUGGAGGCCACGCCAGCAUUUGAGACAAAUUUCUCCUUGAUGUAAAUUCAAAGCUAUAUUGAUUUACGGACCUUGAAGGCUGAAGCUGCAAACAUUGUAUUGGAUUCUGGUGCAGAUAUAAACAUUGUUGGCAUAAAUACCACAACACAACUCAAACUGUCAGGGAAUUUCUUUCAUGAUCCAACCUCUCGAAGCAAGUUAUGCAACUAAAGAAUUUGUUUCAUAAAGUGAAUCUUGGAGCUUUGAAGUUCUGGCCAAAGUGGCUUUUGCCUCAAAGCAACUGGUGUGAAAUGGCCAUAUCUACUAUAUAUACUCAGAUUUGAAAUACAUAUUUGCAGCCAUUAGACCCCUUCAAUAUUAAUUUGGCGCCACCAGUAUACUAUGUCAAAUUUACAAGCCUCGCCAUCCUGCCUAGCGUGUUCAUGUUUAAGGUAAUUCAGGAUGUAUUGCAUCAAGUAGAGAUGGUAUAAUAUGCUGAUCCUUUUGUACAGGGUAGGUUGACAUGAAAUCCAUGUUUCCUACAGUUAUUUUUUUGUGAUAAAGUAGAUCAACUUUUCAUAUAUAGUAAUUUUUUUUUCCA